UAGGGAAUUUUCCACAAUGGACGAAAGUCUGAUGGAGCAACGCCGCGUGAACGAUGAAGGUCUUCGGAUUGUAAAGUUCUGUUGUCAGGGACGAACAAGUACCGUUCGAACAGGGCGGUACCUUGACGGUACCUGACGAGAAAGCCACGGCUAACUAC
rnacentral:rRNA from 1 species